CUUGGUCCAAUUUUUGGUUUGUAGGUGUUGACAGGGGAUGAAAUGUCCCAGAUUGAUGACAUCACGCUCUCGGUGAUCGAUUUUGGCCUACAAGGCUAUACAGUAUCAUAUUUUGUACAACCCUUUUUAUGUAUUGUUUUGAUGGAAUAUGCAAGUCAUUUCAUUUUAGAUUUUUAAAAUUAUGUUUAAUUUAUUAUUUGUACUAAUAUCUCAUGUUAAUUUUGUUUUUUUAGGGUACCCCCUCCGCGUCUAGGGCUCGUCCUAAGAAAAAGAAUUCCUCGAAGACACCAAAACGUGGGAAGAAGGUAAUUGAACACAUUUUUAGUUGUACAAUUGUUUGAAAAUGUUGAAAUCAAUUAUUAGUUGGGGUUUGUAGAUUGAUUAGUGUUUUUUGUCUAUUUUACAUGUACAACGGCCAUUGAGCUAUGUGGAUUUGUUGAAUGCACCUGAUUCGCUCGUGGAUCAAGAGAGGGCAGAGGAAAUAUCCAUACCUAUUUCAUCAAUGGCGAACCCUCCUCUGUGCACUGGAGAAGCAUCUCAAGAUCUGGUAAUAGCGACAGUUUCUACAUCGAUGGUGAGCCAUCCUCAGUCCAUUGGAGAAGCAUCUCAGGCACAAACCCCUUCGUAGUACGGCCAUAAUGUGGAUCCAUUUAAGCAUGUCUUCAAGAAAACUCCUAAGAGUGACAAGGAGAGGAGAGCGAAGACAUUAGCUCCUAGAUCGGCCGAUGAGCCAUCUACAAAGUCGCGUAUUGCAUCGAGGAGGCUUGAUUUUGAUGAUCCACCACAAGUUUAGGAUCAUAUAGUGUUAGUUUUGAUCAUAGAAUGACCAAUACAUGUAGAUAUAUUCUACAUUUUUAUUGUAUAUCGAUUUGGACAUGGCAUAUGCCACAUUUUUGUAAUGCUUGU